UACGUAGGGGGCAAGCGUUGUCCGGAUUUAUUGGGCGUAAAGAGCGUGUAGGCGGUUUGGUAGGUCCGCUGUGAAAACUCGAGGCUCAACCUCGAGACGCCGGUGGAAACCAUCAGACUAGAGUUCGGAAGAGGCGAGUGGAAUUCCCGGUGUAGCGGUGAAAUGCGCAGAUAUCGGGAGGAACACCAAUGGCGAAGGCAGCUCGCUGGGACGUUACUGACGCUGAGACGCGAAAGCGUGGGGAGCAAACAGG
rnacentral:rRNA from 1 species